ACGAUCAGUAACUGGUGUGAGAGCACGACCAGUCACACGGGCACUGAGACACGGGCCCGACUCCUACGGGAGGCAGCAGUAAGGAAUAUUGGUCAAUGGACGCAAGUCUGAACCAGCCAUGCCGCGUGGAGGAUGAAGGCCCUCUGGGUUGUAAACUUCUUUUAUUGGGGAAGAAACCCAUCUUUUCUAAGGUGGUUGACGGUACCCGAUGAAUAAGCACCGGCUAACUCCGUGCCAGCAGCCGCGGUAAUACGGAGGGUGCAAGCGUUAUCCGGAUUCACUGGGUUUAAAGGGUGCGUAGGUGGGCAGGUAAGUCAGUGGUGAAAUCUCCGGGCUUAACCCGGAAACUGCCGUUGAUACUAUCUGUCUUGAAUGUAGUGGAGGUGAGCGGAAUAUGUCAUGUAGCGGUGAAAUGCUUAGAUAUGACAUAGAACACCUAUUGCGAAGGCAGCUCGCUACACUAUUAUUGACACUGAGGCACGAAAGCGUGGGGAUCAAACAGGAUUAGAUACCCUGGUAGUCCACGCCCUAAACGAUGGAUACUCGACAUCAGCGAUACACAGUUGGUGUCUGAGCGAAAGCAUUAAGUAUCCCACCUGGGAAGUACGACCGCAAGGUUGAAACUCAAAGGAAUGACGA
rnacentral:rRNA from 1 species